UACGUAGGGUGCGAGCGUUAAUCGGAAUUACUGGGCGUAAAGCGUGCGCAGGCGGUUAUGCAAGACAGAUGUGAAAUCCCCGAGCUUAACUUGGGAAUUGCAUUUGUGACUGCAUAACUAGAGUGUGUCAGAGGGAGGUAGAAUUCCACGUGUAGCAGUGAAAUGCGUAGAUAUGUGGAGGAAUACCGAUGGCGAAGGCAGCCUCCUGGGAUAACACUGACGCUCAUGCACGAAAGCGUGGGGAGCAAAC
rnacentral:rRNA from 1 species